GGCUUUAAAUAGAAACCACACAAUGCUUGCCUGACCCUCCGCCGACCUCACCCUCAAAUCUGGGGUUCACAGCCCCAGCCUUGAACCCGGCUCUGUUUUUUCAUGUUUGGCCUCUCUAUUUCCUGAGGUCAGGCAGCCCACCGCUCCAUUAGCAUGAAGCAACUCAGGGCUCAUUUGCCAAAACUGACAUCCUGGGAAAGUUCUGAUUAAUUUAUGAAUUAGAGGCUACAGAUGCCAGAAGUGCCUGAGGAAGAAAGUUGAGGGAGCCCGGCGGGCGAGGUGCUCUCACCUUGCGGAACGCGGGGAUUGCGACACCCCGGCGAAGAGGAAAACACCUCAGGAGCCACCAGUGGAAUGAGCCUGGGUGGAAGGACAGGCUCCAGCUGUCCCCCAUGGACCCCCAAGAGACUUGCAGCCCCCUCUGUUUGCUGCCAUCAAUCCCGGAGGAGCCCGAGGGGACCAGCAGAGGAGUGACACCGGAGAUUUGUCCUAUUGAUUAACCGGGGAUGGGAGGAAUCAAACACCAGGAGCAGACAAACGCCUGCGAGGAGAGCAGGGCAAUUGUCGGCUGUGCUUUGCAGGUUAUUGGGUUUGGAAGAUCUCAUUCUUCUUUUCCUACCUGGAGGCUGAGGGAAAGCAGUAAAACUUUCCUAAAUUCCUCCUCGUUUGCCUGUUUGAAGUUCCUCAGUUAACACCACACGCCAGAGAGAAAAACCCCCCUCAGAGUCCCCACCUCUGCCAAGUGAGAUCUCACAUUAUUGGCUCUGACAGCUCUCAUUCCUCAGGCACUUUCUUUUUCCUUCCUCAAAGGAAGGGGGGGGAAAAAAAUAUCAAAGUUUCCAAACCUGAGCACCUUCUGAGAUUGCAAAAUGCAGGCU